CCGCAGUGCCAGCAGUGAGAACUCAUCAGUGAGGAUGUAGAUUCCAGUAACGUAAAACAUUUAGGAGCAUUUAAGGGGUUUGUAGUUAUCCUUCACAAUGUAAGAAAUCACGAGCGUGUCAUUCAGACACUGGAAGAACUCGUGCAUUCGAGCAGUCAUUCACGCGCGAUUACAGAAAUAUAAUAAAGUCUCUUUGUUUGACUGUGUUUGUGAUCAAGGGCUGAUUACUUUAAAUCACAGCCGAGGAAGUUCUGUCAGUACUCUAAUUGAUGGAUCGCACAUCAUCGCAGAUAAUAAACCAGGACAAACGCAGAAUCAAUCAGGCAAUGCGUGGAUGGAGGCUGUGAGUCCUGAUGGAUAUAUGUACAACACUGAGACGGGUGGUGAGAAAACAUCUGAACACAUUCAGCUUCACAUCAUAGUGUGCAUUAGACAAUAUAACCCUAUAAAGUUUAAAUGAUUGACAUAAACUCUGUUGAACCUUCUUCACACUCAAUCUCCUCAUGUCUUCUGUUUCUGAUUGAGAGUUUAAAGUGUUUUCAACCAGUCAAAGCUCUUUUAUUGUAAUUGUAGAAAUGUCUUGAGUUAUUGUGAUCCAGUAAAGGUCAGAAUAAGGUCAGUAAUAUCUCCAGAUGAACUCUUCCUGGACUGAAGCAGCUCAGCUUUACUUGAUUCUCCAUCAAUCAUGUUUUAGAGUCUCAAAUCUGAUCCUCAGGAUCUUUUGAGGAGCGUUUGUUUCCAGAAGCUUUACUUUCACUGUUCCUCAGCGGAGGAAUGAUCUUCACAAGCCUCCAGAACAUCUCACAUCUUCUGAGGAGCCUUGAUUUCUCCAGCUCUCAGUCUCUGUGUUAUAUGUGCGGAUCAUUUACACAUCACUGGAGAUAUAGAGCACAGACUCAUAUUUACAUCAGUUUAUAUCAGUAUCUGCUCUACUGAGAAACAUCUCACUGAUCUACAUCACAAACUAAUAAAAAGCAGCAGCUACGCUAAAUUAUAUAUUUUUGCUCAGUUUGAGUCUCUGAAUGAAAUUGAGCUGUUUUUUUUAAUAUAUAUAAAUUUUUUGAUUCACAGCUUUGAAGCAGUGAAAUAAUUCAGCCACUAGUGAAGUUGGUCCUUAUCUAAUGUCAUUCGUUCAGUUAAUGCUUUCUGUUCUCUUUGAGUUUGCAGAACCUCUCAUAGAAGUUAUGAAUGAUAUCUUGUCAUCAGAAAAAGUCUGUAGCGUUGCAGUAAAAAAGUUGCUCAGAAUGGAUUAAGCAGAAUUACUAAUUAUGUAUCGUGUCUCUCCUAAACUAAAACUACCAGUAAUAUAGCACAUACCUGUUAAACUCAUCAGAGAAAUGAAGUGUCAAAUCCUCAAGAGAUGGAGACUUUAUUUAGAUGCUACUCUAUAGAGGAAAUUCAUUCUGAAGAAACAGUCUUAUUAGGUCUUACUGUAAUCAGCAUAUUUGUGAUAUUUUUUCCUAAAAUUGAUUUCUAGGACACUUUAAACUUGAUGAAGGGCAAUAUUUUCCUCACAGAAUUAGAUGUACGUCAGAUUCUUACACUUUGUCAAUACAUUCAGUUACAAUAAUAAGACACUGUAUGGAUGUUAUUAGAUCUUUCCAUGCGGAGGAAACAGAAGCUGCAUCAGAAGCGCAUUUACUCGCUGUUUAAUGAAGAUAAGAGGAUCCAGAAAUCCAUUCACACAGUAAAAUUGCAUAAUGUUAAUGUUUUACUUUUUUAAAAUACAAAUAUGAAAUGUUUGAAAAAUGCAAUGAUACUUUUAAAUAUGAAACCAAACCACCAGUGGGUGAGUCACUGUCUUAAUGAGUGAGUCACUGAUUCACUGGAUUCGUUCAAACUGCUGAUUCAUUCAAUAAAUGAUUAUAAACGGUUCACUGAAUCAUUGACUCACUUGAUUCGUUCAGAAACACUGAAUCAUUCAGUGAUGAAGCACUGUUGUGUGUUGCUCAGAGAUGUGUGACUGUUCUGCUGUGGCUCUGCUUUGUUUCGUUUCACAAAAACGGUCAAUAAUGUGUCUAAAAUAUUAAUAUCAGCUACUUGUUUACUGAACUGCUGUUGUAUAAAAUCAAUGUCACAUUUGCAAUCGUGCUGAUAAACGG